UCGUAUUGUACAAUAAUCAUAAUCCUGAGGAAGCGACUCUCUUGCCUGCUAACUACUCGAUAUCUAUACUCGAUAUCUAUAUUGACCAUUGUUAAUCUAGACGAGUUCAUUAUCAAAGAAUAGUUAAAGGUCUUCAAAUAGUCUUUGGCAUUGCAUAUCAUAUGCAUCAAGAACAACUCUAAAAACAAAUCACAAAGCUUAAUAGAAUUCGAUCUGGUUUUCUGCCGCGGCGGUGUUUUCUGUGUGCGCAUGGUCUCCGGCGUUUGGAUCUGCGUUCAACGGCCGAACUCCUAAGAAAAAAUAGUUGCAGCACAUGAUGCAUUCAAGUAUGGUUCAUAAACAACGAAUGUGAAGCCUAAUUACGUGAUUUGGUUGGUGCCUCCAACAUCGAAUCGGUUCGAAAGGACCAAGAAUUUUGCAGUGUCAAUGGGAUCAAGUCGAUAAAGAGAGACGUCAAGAGGUCGUAAUAUCAAAGCGGAAAUGUAGGGAACUCCAGAAUUUGUGUUAACCAAACAGACGUCGAUGUAAUCCGAGGAAGGAUCAGGGAGGGUAAUAGCCUCCAUACAUAGGCUGUCAAGCUUCACUGUUCCCCACAAGUUGACGCCGAGGUGAAGGUCAAAAGUGGGGGUGGAGUUUAACCCAUCAUAGUUGCCAUACACAAAGGAAGCUCUGAUGAGAUAUUUAGUCAUUUUGGGUGCCUCUGUUUUUAGACGGUAGCAGUUCCUUGUGCCAUUUGGAAAGCUUCUUAAGCUCCAGUAUAUAGGUCCCCAACGUGGACGAUAUUCUGCUAAUAUUUGGUUGCUCAUUCCAGAUCC